rnacentral:rRNA from 1 species
UUCCGGUUGAUCCUGCCGGACCCGACUGCUAUCAGAGUGGGACUAAGCCAUGCGAGUUAACGUAGCAACGUGGCAUACGGCUCAGUAACACGUGGUCAACAUACCCAGAGGACGUGGAUAACCUCGGGAAACUGAGGAUAAACCGCGAUAGACCAUAAUUUCUGGAAUGAUUUAUGGUUCAAAUCUACAUGGCCUCUGGAUUGGACUGCGGCCGAUCAGGCUGUUGGUGAGGUAAUGGCCCACCAAACCUGAAACCGGUACGGGCUCUGAGAGGAGAAGCCCGGAGAUGGGCACUGAGACAAGGGCCCAGGCCCUAUGGGGCGCAGCAGGCGCGAAAUCUUUGCAAUAGGCGAAAGCCUGACAAGGUUACUCUGAGUGAUCUCCGCUAAGGAAAUCUUUUGACACCUCUAAAAAUGGUGUAGAAUAAGGGGUGGGCAAGCCUGGUGUCAGCCGCCGCGGUAAUACCAGCACCCCGAGUGGUCGGGACGAUUAUUGGGCCUAAAGCAUCCGUAGCCGGUUCCUUAAGUCCUCCGUUAAAUCCACCUGCUUAACAGAUGGGCUGCGGAGGAUACUAUAGAGCUAGGAGGCGGGAGAGGCAAGCGGUACUCAGUGGGUAGGGGUAAAAUCCGUUGAUCCAUUGAAGACCACCAGUGGCGAAGGCGGCUUGCCAGAACGCGCUCGACGGUGAGGGAUGAAAGCUGGGGGAGCAAACCGGAUUAGAUACCCGGGUAGUCCCAGCUGUAAACGAUGCAGACUCGGUGAUGAACAGGCUUCGUGCCUGUUCAGUGCCGCAGGGAAGCCGUUAAGUCUGCCGCCUGGGGAGUACGGUCGCAAGACUGAAGCUUAAGGGAAUUGGCGGGGGAGCACCACAAGGGGUGAAGCCUGCGGUUCAAUUGGAUUCAACGCCGGA